rnacentral:rRNA from 1 species
CUGGCGGCGUGCCUAAUACAUGCAAGUCGAACGAGUAGCAAUACCGAGUGGCGAACGGGUGAGUAACACGUAGGUAACCUGCCCUUAAGCUUGGGAUACCCAGAGGAAACUUUGGCUAAUACCGGAUAACAACAGAGAAGGCAUCUUCUUUGCUUGAAAGGCCCCUUCAAGGGUCACUUAAGGAUGGACCUGCGGCGCAUUAGCUAGUUGGUGAGAUAACAGCCCACCAAGGCGAGGAUGCGUAGCCGAACUGAGAGGUUGAUCGGCCACAUUGGAACUGAGACACGGUCCAAACUCCUACGGGAGGCAGCAGUAAGGAGUUUUCGGCAAUGGGGGAAACCCUGACCGAGCAACGCCGCGUGAGCGAUGACGGUCCUUUGGAAUUGUAAAGCUCUGUUGUAAGCCAUGAAUGACAGCUUGAGGAAAUGCAAGUUGUUUGACGACAGCUUACCAGAAAGCCACGGCUAACUACGUGCCAGCCGCCGC